rnacentral:rRNA from 1 species
AUUGAACGCUGGCGGAAUGCUUUACACAUGCAAGUCGAGCGGCAGCGCGGGGGCAACCCUGGCGGCGAGCGGCGAACGGGUGAGUAACAUAUCGGAACGUACCCAGUCGUGGGGGAUAACUAUCCGAAAGGAUAGCUAAUACCGCAUACGUCCUGAGGGAGAAAGCGGGGGAUCGCAAGACCUCGCGCGAUUGGAGCGGCCGAUAUCGGAUUAGCUAGUUGGUGGGGUAAAGGCUCACCAAGGCGACGAUCCGUAGCGGGUCUGAGAGGACGACCCGCCACACUGGAACUGAGACACGGUCCAGACUCCUACGGGAGGCAGCAGUGGGGAAUUUUGGACAAUGGGGGCGAACCCUGAUCCAGCCAUUCCGCGUGAGUGAAGAAGGCC